rnacentral:rRNA from 1 species
UAACUAAGCGGAGGAAAAGAAACUAACAAGGAUUCCCCUAGUAACGGCGAGUGAACAGGGAAGAGCCCAGCGCCGAAGCCUCCGUCCCGCGCGGGCGGCAGGCAAUGUGGCGUUCGGGAGAAACCUCUCCUUCCGGAAGCAGUCCCGGAGCCCAGGUCCCCCUGACCGGGGCCAUCGCCCGCCGAGGGUGCAAGGCCCGUUCGGCUCUGGGCGUCCGGAGGACGGUUCUUCUCUCCCGGGAGUCGGGUUGCUUGGGAGUGCAGCCCUAAGCGGGUGGUAAACUCCAUCUAAGGCUAAAUACUUCCACGAGACCGAUAGCAAACAAGUACCGUGAGGGAAAGUUGCAAAGAACUUUGAAGAGAGAGUUCAAGAGUACGUGAAACCGCUCGUAGGCAAACGGGUGGGCCCUCGAAGGCAAGCAGAAGGGGAUUCAACCCGUUGUCCGACAGCGCUCCCCGGUUUUUCUCGAAACGGAUCCGAGAGACCGGCCCGGGGUUCUUGCUGCGGUCGCCAGCGGGCGCACUUCCCCUUCUCGCGUCCUGUAAAAAACUCUUUUGCGGGACCGAACGCCGCGACCGGUCGGGAGAAACGACGGCGGCCAAGCGGCGAGAUCGGGCAGGUAUCCUACUCGUCUGACCUUCGGGACAGCUCGUAGGAGAUAGCCCGUCUCGACCCGGCUCCGCCGCCCGACCGUGGUCUAGAACCGAGGUUCGACAACCGCGCAAGCGUACGACGCUCGAGCCUUUCCCGCACGCUGUGUGUGGCCGCUGACAGACAAUUCCCCCCCGCUCACUGCGGUUACACGAAGCGGCCCGCCGGCGUUCACGAGGAUUCGGCUCUCGAGUUAGUUGCGCCUGUGGUCGGCGGCGAGUAGGUCGGUAACCCACCCGACCCGUCUUGAAACACGGACCAAGGAGUCUAACAUGUGUGCGAGUCGUAGGGUGCGUACGAAACCCGAAGGCAAAGUGAAAGCACGGGCCAAUUCAUUGGCCGAGGCGGGAUCCGUCCGUUUCCCCUCGUGGGAAUACGGGCGGCGCACCGCCGGCCCGUCUCGACCGCAGCGUCGGUGAGGCGGAGCAAGAGCAGACACGUUGGGACCCGAAAGAUGGUGAACUAUUCCUAGGCAGGACGAAGCCAGAGGAAACUCUGGUGGAGGUCCGUAGCGUUUCUGACGUGCAAAUCGAUCGUCAGACCUGGGUAUAGGGGCGAAAGACUAAUCGAACCAUCUAGUAGCUGGUUCCCUCCGAAGUUUCCCUCAGGAUAGCUGGCUCUCGAGCGAAACACAGUCUCAUCCGGUAAAGCGAAUGAUUAGAGGCCUUGGGGCCGAAACGACCUCAACCUAUUCUCAAACUUUCAAUGGGUGAGAAGUCCGGCUUGCUCGACUGAAGCCCGGACGUCGGAUGCGAGUGCCCAGUGGGCCACUUUUGGUAAGCAGAACUGGCGCUGUGGGAUGAACCAAACGCCGGGUUACGGCGCCCAAUGCGACGCUCAUCAGACACCAUGAAAGGUGUUGGUUGCUAUAGACAGCAGGACGGUGGCCAUGGAAGUCGGAAUCCGCUAAGGAGUGUGUAACAACUCACCUGCCGAAGCAACUAGCCCUGAAAAUGGAUGGCGCUCAAGCGUCGAGCCUAUACCCGGCCGCCGGGGCAGAGCCGAUUUCUAAAAGCAGCAGACGCCCCGGCGAGUAGGAGGGUCGCGGCGGCGAGCGGAAAAGGGUCGGGCGCAGGCCCGCCUGGAGCCGCCGCCGGUGCAGAUCUUGGUGGUAGUAGCAAAUACUCGAGUGAGAACCUUGAGGACUGAUGUGGAGAAGGGUUCCAUGUGAACAGCAGUUGAACAUGGGUCAGUCGGCCCUAAGGAAUAGGGAAAUCCCGUUCCGAAUUUUGGGUUUAUAUAUCAUUUGAAAAAUAUCCCAAACUCAACCGAAAGGGAAUCGGGUUAAUAUUCCCGAACCCGGACACGGAGAUCGGGCCUUCAUAGGUCCAGUGCGGUGACGCAAACGCCCUCGGAGACGUCGGCGGGAGUCCCGGGAAGAGUUGUCUUUUCUUUGUAAGGAACGGAAUCCCUGGAAUCGGUUCGCCCGGAGAUAGGGAUGUGGUUUCCGUAAAGCACCGCGCCUCCUGCGGUGUCCGGACAGCUCUCGUCGGCCCUUGAAAAUCCGAGGAAGGCAGUGCGAUUUUCGUGCCGGGCCGUACCCAUAUCCGCAGCAGGUCU